UCGGUGUGCCAGUUGAAAGCC
rnacentral:piRNA from 1 species